rnacentral:rRNA from 1 species
UACGAAGGGGGCUAGCGUUGCUCGGAAUCACUGGGCGUAAAGGGUGCGUAGGCGGGUCUUUAAGUCAGGGGUGAAAUCCUGGAGCUCAACUCCAGAACUGCCUUUGAUACUGAGGAUCUUGAGUAUGGGAGAGGUGAGCGGAACUGCGAGUGUAGAGGUGAAAUUCGUAGAUAUUCGCAAGAACACCGGUGGCGAAGGCGGCUCACUGGCCCAUAACUGACGCUGAGGCACGAAAGCGUGGGGAGCAAACAGG